CAGCAGCCGCGGGAAUACGGAGGGAGCUAGCGUUGUUCGGAUUACUGGGCGUAAAGCGCACGUAGGCGGCUUUGUAAGUCAGAGGUGAAAGCCUGGAGCUCAACUCCAGAACUGCCUUUGAGACUGCAUCGCUUGAAUCCAGGAGAGGUGAGUGGAAUUCCGAGUGUAGAGGUGAAAUUCGUAGAUAUUCGGAAGAACACCAGUGGCGAAGGCGGCUCACUGGACUGGUAUUGACGCUGAGGUGCGAAAGCGUGGGGAGCAAACAGGAUUAGAUACCCGGGUAGUCCCUGUCUCUUAUACA
rnacentral:rRNA from 1 species